rnacentral:rRNA from 1 species
UGGGGAAUUUUGGACAAUGGGCGAAAGCCUGAUCCAGCAAUGCCGCGUGUGUGAAGAAGGCCUUCGGGUUGUAAAGCACUUUUGUCCGGAAAGAAAUCCUUGGCUCUAAUACAGUCGGGGGAUGACGGUACCGGAAGAAUAAGCACCGGCUAACUACGUGCCAGCAGCCGCGGUAAUACGUAGGGUGCAAGCGUUAAUCGGAAUUACUGGGCGUAAAGCGUGCGCAGGCGGUUUGCUAAGACCGAUGUGAAAUCCCCGGGCUCAACCUGGGAACUGCAUUGGUGACUGGCAGGCUAGAGUAUGGCAGAGGGGGGUAGAAUUCCACGUGUAGCAGUGAAAUGCGUAGAGAUGUGGAGGAAUACCGAUGGCGAAGGCAGCCCCCUGGGCCAAUACUGACGCUCAUGCACGAAAGCGUGGGGAGCAAACAGGAUUAGAUACCCUGGUAGUCCACGCCCUAAACGAUGUCAACUAGUUGUUGGGGAUUCAUUUCCUUAGUAACGUAGCUAACGCGUGAAGUUGACCGCCUGGGGAGUACGGUCGCAAGAUUAAAACUCAAAUGAAUUGACGGGGUAUAGCUG